UAUUCGUGCUGGCUGCCUUAUGAAGUUUCAUAAAACGAAGGCAAACUGGAAGAGUCAUAAUCUUUAAAUUGAUUAGUUAGCUUUCAGGCUGCUGUUCACUGUAUAUUGACCUGAGCAGUAUCAGAAACCAGAGCAAAGCAAAAAACGGAACCCAGCUUGCACACGACGUUGCAUAGACUUCAGUGUAUGGUCGUGGUUUCGACGUCGCAUUUUGCCCUUAAACCACGUCUGUCUGGCGUCGCAAUUUCUGCCGUCAGAUUUCGGUUUUCAACAGACGUCGGCAGAAGUCGCAAUUUCCGACGUCAGAUUUAUACCGCAGCACAACAUUGCGUCGACGUCGCUGCGAUGCAGAUUUAAUAAACUCGAAAGAGACUUUAGAUUAUGGAAUUUAAUCCGAAGUUGUUGUAAUUUUUACUACGUGUAAAUUAUAUGAACACUAAUGUAGUUUUAAUAAACAUAUCUAUAUUUUCUGUGC